rnacentral:rRNA from 1 species
AUCAGGAAUCUUGCGCAAUGGGGGAAACCCUGACGCAGCGACGUCGCGUGGAGGAUGACGGCCUUCGGGUUGCAAACUCCUUUUAGCGGGGAAGAGACAGGACGGUACCCGCUGAAUAAGCCCCGGCUAACUCCGUGCCAGCAGCCGCGGUAAUACGGAGGGGGCGAGCGUUGUCCGAAUUUAUUGGGCGUAAAGCGCGUGUAGGCGGAUGGACAAGCCUGAGGUGAAAGGUUGGGGCUCAACCCCAUACAGUGCCUUGGGGACUGUUCGUCUGGAGGCCGGCAGAGGAGAGUGGAAUUCCUGGUGUAGCGGUGGAAUGCGUAGAGAUCAGGAAGAACACCCAUGGCGAAGGCAGCUCUCUGGGCCGGUACUGACGCUGAGACGCGAAAGCGCGGGGAGCGAACGG